AGGCAGCAGCAAGGAAUUUUGUGCAAUGGGCGAAAGCCUGACACAGCGACACUGCGUGGGGGAUGAAGGCCUUCGGGUUGUAAACCCCUUUUCUCAGGGAAGAAUAAUGACGGUACCUGAGGAAUAAGUCACGGCUAACUACGUGCCAGCAGCCGCGGUAAUACGUAGGUGGCGAGCGUUAUCCGGAUUUACUGGGCGUAAAGAGGGCGUAGGUGGCUUUUCAAGUCGGAUGUUAAAUCUCCCGGCUCAACUGGGAGGGAUCGUUCGAUACUGUGAGGCUGGAGUGCAGUAAGCGGAGGUGGAAUUCCCGGUGUAGUGGUGAAAUGCGUAGAUAUCGGGAGGAACACCAGUGGCGAAGGCGGCCUCCGGGGCUGUUACUGACACUGAAGCCCGAAGGCGUGGGGAGCAAACAGGAUUAGAUACCCUGGUAGUC
rnacentral:rRNA from 1 species